UGUUGGUGAGGUAAUGGCUCACCAAGGCGUCGACGGGUAGCCGGCCUGAGAGGGUGACCGGCCACACUGGGACUGAGACACGGCCCAGACUCCUACGGGAGGCAGCAGUGGGGAAUAUUGCACAAUGGGCGAAAGCCUGAUGCAGCAACGCCGCGUGAGGGACGACGGCCUUCGGGUUGUAAACCUCUUUUAGCGAGGAAGAAGCGAAAGUGACGGUACUUGCAGAAAAAGCGCCGGCUAACUACGUGCCAGCAGCCGCGGUAAUACGUAGGGCGCAAGCGUUAUCCGGAAUUAUUGGGCGUAAAGAGCUCGUAGGCGGUUUGUCGCGUCUGCUGUGAAAACCCGAGGCUCAACCUCGGGCCUGCAGUGGGUACGGGCAGACUAGAGUGCGGUAGGGGAGAUUGGAACUCCUGGUGUAGCGGUGGAAUGCGCAGAUAUCAGGAAGAACACCGAUGGCGAAGGCAGAUCUCUGGGCCGUAACUGACGCUGAGGAGCGAAAGGGUAGGGAGCAAACAGGCUUAGAUACCCUGGUAGUCCACCCCGUAAACGUUGGGAACUAGUUGUGGGGUCCAUUCCACGGGUUCCGUGACGCAGCUAACGCAUUAAGUUCCCCGCCUGGGGAGUACGGCCGCAAGGCUAAAACUCAAAGG
rnacentral:rRNA from 1 species